UACGUAGGGGGCCUAGCGUUGUCCGGAAUUAUUGGGCGUAAAGGGCGCGUAGGCGGCUUCGCAAGUGGAAGGUGAAAUCCCUCGGCUUAACCGAGGAACUGCCCUCCAACUGCGUUGCUUGAGGCCGGGAGAGGUGAGUGGAAUUCCCAGUGUAGCGGUGAAAUGCGUAGAUAUUGGGAGGAACACCAGUGGCGAAGGCGGCUCACUGGACCGGUUCUGACGCUGAGGCGCGAAAGCGUGGGGAGCAAACGGG
rnacentral:rRNA from 1 species